rnacentral:rRNA from 1 species
UGAGGAAUAUUGGGGCAAUGGGCGGAAGCCUGACCCAGCAACGCCGCGUGAAGGAAGACGGUUUUCGGAUUGUAAACUUCUUUUAAGAGGGACGAUAAUGACGGUACCUCUUGAAUAAGCCACGGCUAACUACGUGCCAGCAGCCGCGGUAAUACGUAGGUGGCAAGCGUUAUCCGGAUUUACUGGGUGUAAAGGGCGCGUAGGCGGGGAUACAAGUCAGAUGUGAAAUCUAUGGGCUUAACCCAUAAACUGCAUUUGAAACUGUAUCUCUUGAGUGUCGGAGAGGUAGACGGAAUUCCUAGUGUAGCGGUGAAAUGCGUAGAUAUUAGGAGGAACACCAGUGGCGAAGGCGGUCUACUGGACGAUAACUGACACUGAGGCGCGAAAGCGUGGGGAGCAAACAGGAUUAGAUACCU